GUGGGGAAUAUUGGACAAUGGGCGCAAGCCUGAUCCAGCCAUUCCGCGUGCAGGAUGAAGGCCUUCGGGUUGUAAACUGCUUUUGUACGGAACGAAAAGCCUCUGGUUAAUACCCGGGGGUCAUGACGGUACCGUAAGAAUAAGCACCGGCUAACUACGUGCCAGCAGCCGCGGUAAUACGUAGGGUGCGAGCGUUAAUCGGAAUUACUGGGCGUAAAGCGUGCGCAGGCGGUGAUGUAAGACAGUUGUGAAAUCCCCGGGCUCAACCUGGGAACUGCAUCUGUGACUGCAUUGCUGGAGUGCGGCAGAGGGGGAUGGAAUUCCGCGUGUAGCAGUGAAAUGCGUAGAUAUGCGGAGGAACACCGAUGGCGAAGGCAAUCCCCUGGGCCUGCACUGACGCUCAUGCACGAAAGCGUGGGGAGCAAACAGGAUUAGAUACCCCUGUAGUCC
rnacentral:rRNA from 1 species